AGGCUGCAAGCAAAGAAUGCGUAGGUUCUCGGGACCGUGCUGCCUUGUGUCUACAAGAGCUCUGCAUAUACCAUGGAAGUCGAAGUUACCCUUAGCUAGCGAUCCGAGGUGGCAUGGACUGGGUCAGGCUGUCGUCCAUCUCGCGCGGUCAUGUGAUACUGGAAAAGCUGCCUUUGAGGAGUGUUGUGCCGCUCGAGAGCAGUUAGAGUCCAUUGUGCAAUCUAUGGGAUAUGAUAUGUCCAUCUACAUUUUUGGCGGCCUCGUCACAACCGGCCUGCUCGAAGUCGGAGGCGACGUCGAUUUUGUUGGGAUUCUUGACGUUGAGCCUGGUUUUGCGGAAGCGGGCGAGAUUCUUAGACGGUCUUCGAGUGAGUUGCGCCGCCUUGGGCUGCGCUCCCGCGCGUAUCCAAAAGCUCGUGUGCCAGUUUUAAAGGCCGACCGAGUAAGUCGUAGCCUUCCAGGCUCGCCAUUUCACAGCUUGUCUUGCGAUGGAAUUUUUCAGUUCAGCAGACAAGUGAACGCCGCGGAGGCAGAGAGUUUCAGAAAUCGCGUCGAAUCAAAUUACAACGCGACGUCUGUUGAAUGGAAUAGCUCUUAUCAGUUUGCGACGGUGCAGUUUGCAACUACCUCCUCUCUCAUCUACGGGCUUGCCAACCUGAAGGCGCACAAUGAGGUGGAAAUUCCACUUCGACUUCCUGUCGACGUGCGUUACGGUCCCGAGGUGUACAGAUUCCCGUUUGACUUCUGUCUCUCUUCGACUGGGCUGCGGAGCUCGCAUGUGCUUGGUGAGGCAUUGGCCCAGUACCCAUUCUCGCGGCAUUUGCUUCUCGUCCUCAAAAAGUGGGGGCGCGCUUGUGGCAUUAUCAACUCUAUCGACGGACUUUUAGCCAGCUACGCGCUGACGGUGAUGGUGGUGCACUUCCUGUCGCUCGUAAAGGCGAUACCAAAAGUCGCAGCUGCGAAGCUCAAUGAAGGCCCUAAGGCUUUGAGUCCCAAUCCUCAGUAUCGUCCUCUUGAAGAUGCGCGCCCAGAUGCCAUGGCGGAGGUCGGCUACUUGCUCGCUACAUUCCUCGAAUACUUUGGAUGCGCUUUUGACUACCAAAAAAGCGUUGUGUGUACGACAAAUAUGACCUUGACCAAAGCAACGAUGGGGUGGGACAGAGAUAACGGCGCAAUCGGGAAGCCGCCCUUUUUUCACUUUGCUAUCAAAGACCCGUACGGCUUGGAUAACAUUGCUCGCAAUCUGGACCUGGAGUCCACAGCAUAUGUUCAGAAAGCUCACGAUUUGGCAGUGAAAAUGGUGAUGGAGGAGUUCAACGAUCCCAUGUUCCUUGUUUCAGCCCUCACCAAGGAUCCCCGAAAACCCCCUCGCGUAGUGCGUUCUCUGAGUGACCGCGGCAUUCACUCUGAAUGUAUCCCCUCAGAUCAGUUGGAGGCGCGACAUGUGUUGAACAAAAUCCAAUUUCAACAGCGCAAGCGAUCGAUGGAGGACUUUGGUGAGAGGGCGGUGAAGAACAAAAAGAAUCAGAGCACUGCAUCUGAUGUCACGAAAAAUGUUUUGGGGUGGAUUAGGAACGAUGGUGUUUUGUAGCUGCAUUUUGUACCAAACGCGCGUCAGUGUGAACUU
rnacentral:misc_RNA from 1 species